rnacentral:rRNA from 1 species
GUAGGUGGCAAGCGUUGUCCGGAAUUAUUGGGGCGUAAAGCGCGCGCAGGCGGUUCUUUAAGUCUGAUGUGAAAGCCCACGGGCUCAACCGUGGAGGGUCAUUGGAAACUGGAGAACCUGAGUACAGAAGAGGAAAGCGGAAUUCCACGUGUAGCGGUGAAAUGCGUAGAGAUGUGGAGGAACACCAGUGGCGAAGGCGGCUUUCUGGUCUGUAACUGACGCUGAGGCGCGAAAGCGUGGGGAGCAAACAGGAUUAGAUACCCUGGUAGUCCACGCCGUAAACGAUGAGUGCUAAGUGUUAGGGGGUUUCCGCCCCUUAGUGCUGCAGCUAACGCAUUAAGCACUCCGCCUGGGGAGUACGGCCGCAAAGGCUG